GUUUGUUCAGGUCAGGAAUAUGACAUUCGUUUUUGAUGUUUGAUUUUGCCAUGUGAUUAUGGACUUUCCGAUUAGAUUUUCCUCCAAGUUCAUUAUUUUUGUGAUUUUACUUUUUAUACUAUAUCCUCGAAAAAGAACAAUGGUACAAACUACUUUGAUGAAUCACACGUUUAACUUUUUUCGGCGAAGUUGAUCAAUGGAAGAGGCUCAAGAAUGUAAAUUUGGAGGCUCAAAUAUACAUUUAUUAAAGAUAUAAAAAAGUACUGAUGAAAUUCACAUUUCU
rnacentral:lncRNA from 1 species